rnacentral:rRNA from 1 species
GAUGAACGCUGGCGGCGUGCCUAAUACAUGCAAGUCGAGCGAACGGACGAGGAGCUUGCUUCUCUGACGUUAGCGGCGGACGGGUGAGUAACACGUGGAUAACCUACCUAUAAGACUGGGAUAACUUCGGGAAACCGGAGCUAAUACCGGAUAAUAUAUUGAACCGCAUGGUUCAAUAGUGAAAGACGGUUUUGCUGUCACUUAUAGAUGGAUCCGCGCUGCAUUAGCUAGUUGGUAAGGUAACGGCUUACCAAGGCAACGAUGCGUAGCCGACCUGAGAGGGUGAUCGGCCACACUGGAACUGAGACACGGUCCAGACUCCUACGGGAGGCAGCAGUAGGGAAUCUUCCGCAAUGGGCGAAAGCCUGACGGAGCAACGCCGCGUGAGUGAUGAAGGUCUUCGGAUCGUAAAACUCUGUUAUUAGGGAAGAACAUAUGUGUAAGUAACUAUGCACAUCUUGACGGUACCUAAUCAGAAAGCCACGGCUAACUACGUG